GGGCGGCUAGCUCAGCUGGUUAGAGCGUUGCAUUCACAUUGCAAAGGUCACUGGUUCGAGCCCAGUGCCGCCCA
rnacentral:tRNA from 2 species